AGCCCUCCUUAGAAUCCACUAAAUAAUUUAAGAAUUAAAUCCUAAGUGAAAAUCAGACUGAGAAUGUAAACCUAUCUCCAGCUGGAAUGAGAGACACAGACCAUUUCUCCCCAGGACACCGCAGCCACAGAACGUCCUGACAGACCCCGCUAAGGGACUACUGCUUUCUGCCUCACCAAGAAACCUUGUCCUCUGCAACCAGAGACUAUCAGAAAUUUGCUCUUAGUGGUUCUAUCAAUAAAAGUGAAACCUCUUACCUUUGCCUGGAGGAUCUAAAGCAAUCUAACACAAAGCAGCAGCCUUCAUUUCCAACCCAGGGGCAGGAUCUCAAGGGAUUUCUGAACACGAUGUUCAUCUUUAAGAAAACAGGCCCCUCGGUCCCCUUCUCAGUCCGGGGCUGACAAUAACCUGUUUAGAUGCAGCCCUGUUUCAUUUCAAUUGCCUGUAUCCCAUCCUGCCCCUAUGCCUGGGGAGGGAGGACUCCUUUCCUCCGGUUGGUGAGGUGCCCACAGUUCCUCUGAUAUGUGGCCUCCCUCCCCGGUUAUGUGUUAAUACAUCUGUCAGACUACAGAUUCAUCCCUGGUGGCUGGGACGGGUGUUCUUUAUUAAAGAUCCCACAGGAAGAAGUGGACAGGGUCUGGACAUCUGUGGCAAGUUAACAGAUCUUUGUAACAUCUGUCACAUCGCCAACCACUUAACCGACAAUUCCACGUAGAUGUCCUACUAACACCUCGGUCCCAGCCGCCGCUUCAAACGCGUCUGUCCUCUAACACUUCGGUGGAUGUGCCCGUACGCACCCCCACACUUCGAUCCUGCCCCCUCCUCGUCGCUACAGCACAGGCCCUCCCUUCUAGCUCGGAUUGUCCCAACAGCUCCCGAACUGGGUUCCUGACCCUCCUUGAUCCGUCUGUCGUGCUGCUGCCAGGCAUGGUCUCUCCCCAGCCCACAGCUGGUCCCAUCCCUUGCUGGAAGGUCUUUCCGGGUAUCCCUGCACUCUAAGGUCCACAUCCAAACUCCUCAGCAAGACAGACAAGGCCAUUCGUGGCUUGGUCUCUGUCCUCCCUGAAAUGCCGGCCCCACAGAGCCCCUCCAGCUCCUAGAUGUGUUUCUUUCUUGCGCACUGUACUUCCAGGCCUCUGUGUGCUCCACCCUCUGCCCGAACCGCUCUCUUCCCAGGCCUUCCCCUCCUCGGUUCACAGUCCAGGAUCCUCGACAUGGCGCACGCGCUCUCUCUCUCCAAGCUAGUAAGCCAACGAGCAGUUACCGAGAAGGACCGUGUACGCGAAAUGCUAGCAUCCUCUAAGCCGCUACAUGAGAUACGGGACAGCAGUGCGAAUGGCAACGCUCUGGAAUUUCCACAACGUAUCAAAGGUUUAUACGAAAAAGACAGUAUCUGAAAUUGAUAAUGGGAUCGGGUCUCUCGGAUGAUGCCGGAAUGAUGGAUCUCAUCCCUGCUCCUUCCUCUGCUGAACCGACAGGAGACUUUACACAGCCUGUUACACAAGUUAGGCUGACGAGCACCAUUAAAAGCCACAAAGCAAGAGCGAAGAGUAAUUCGUUGUGGUGACACCUAGCAUUUCAGCUGUUGGCCACGCUUCUUAGGUAACAAAGGUCCUUUUCCUACCGGACCUCAGCUGAUCUUGGACAAGUCACUUCACCUUUCUAAGCCUUAGGUCCUACCGUGUAAAACAGACACACAAGUACUCACGAGACCGAAUGAAAAAUAAAGCUCAUAAAAAAAAAUGUCUCACCCAGGAUGGACUCAAACGAUACUUGCAUUUCUGACCCCUCCCUGCCCAUGUACCCCCCUGCCUUCUCACACACCGCUCCGGAAAACAUCUUUCCGUUUCUAGACUCUGGCUACUGGGGUAAGGCUGCAACAGCUGAUACCUGCGCAGAGCGCUCCGGUGAGGCGGGAGGUAGCUGAGAAAGAGCACCGCACUGCAGAAUCAGACCGUUUUAACCAGGAAAGUGGCCACGAUGGUCAAAGGCUGCAGAAGUCAAUUUCACUGUUUUGCUGCACUACCCACCGCCCUCCUGCAUUGGGGUUGGCUUUGCAGGCUACACUCGUUCUCUCCACCAACGCUCCCGUCCUAAUGCUCAGGGGGCUCCAGCAUCUGCGGGGUCAGUCCUCCCGUGGCCCAGGCCUCCUGGCUCCUUGACCUCAUCCGUGACCUUGUCCCCCAACCUUCCUCCCAGGAUCAAAGUGUAGGCCUCGGCCUUGCCAAUAAAUCCAGCUUGUCCGCAGUCCCAAUUCUGAGUAUCCUGCUCUCCAACCACCAGCUCUUCCCUUUCUCUGUGAGACCCAGACGCCAAUAACCCACCCGCCACCUUGUCACUGGCUCCCUCUCCUUUCCUCAUGCCGCCUCACAGCCAAACUCCAAGCUUUCCAAUGGCUUCUCGCAGCACUCAGAUUAAAUGCCACGGCCCCUGGCCUCCGGUCGCCUCUCCGACCCUGACUUCCGCUGCUCCCUCCUUGCUGUUCCUUAAACAGCAGGGCCGUUGUGUUGUCCCGCUGCCCUCCUGAGGAUGCUCCUUCAGUACGCCCCGCAGUGAAGGCUGAUGCCCUGCUCUCCGGGCCUGUGUCGAUGCAGGUGGCCAUCACCGAGACAUCGACUCUCCAUGGGAAUCCCAUGAGGUACAUGGCAUGAUGCUGAUCUGACCAGGAGCUCAUCUAAAGCAGGUUCUCGGACUGCCUCACUCCCUGCCCAGCCCUCCGGAUGAUCUGUUCGCACGCUACCUAGCACACUCUGCAGCAGCACGAUGGGAGUGAAAAAGCACAGACAAAUUCAGGUUCAAAUCUGCCAUGGGCCAGCGGGGCCUGACUUCGAACUGCAGUUCUGCCACUGACGGACCAAUAGAUGAUCUUUAAAGUGUCAGGUAACAUCUCCCAAAUGCCUCCCUGAUGUAAGUGCACAAAACACGCCUGGAUUACCAGAGGUCUCUCUGCUGCUCACAGAAACUAGAUGUGACACGCCUCGGACAAGGCUUCAUUUCGUCAUCGACCACUCACCCUGUAAGCUCUAUGCAUUUUAACAGCGGAGGGAAACGCAUCCGAGUGUGCCUUACCCACUGU